GGGUUGUGAGGUUAAGCGAAUAAGCGUACACGGUGGAUGCCUAGGCAAUCAGAGGCGAUGAAGGACGUGCUAAUCUGCGAAAAGCGUCGGUAAG
rnacentral:rRNA from 1 species